GGACUGGUAGCUCAGUGGUAGAGCAAUCGACUGCAGUUCGAUAGGUCAUGGGUUCAAUUCCCAUUCGGUCCU
rnacentral:tRNA from 1 species